CUUAAGCUGAAGGACAGACAACGGUUCUUCGAAGAACGUCUACCAAAAAGACUUGGACAAUUAUUUACCUUCUGCACACUUGCAGAUCGACUGCAGGAAACCCCCUAUGGGUAGUAUCUCAUCUAUGGAGGUGAACGUGGACGUUCUGGAGCAGAUGGACUUGAUGGACAUAUCGGAUCAGGAAGCCCUCGAUGUGUUCUCAACUCAGGUUCGGGAGCAGACGCGGGAGCGCUGACGUCUCCUCUACCAGAUGGUGAGGACGAGGAUGAAGAUGAGGAGGACGAAGAUGCAGAGGUUGUCUACAGGGAGCGUGCAUCUUUGAAACGGCAACAUGAAGUUUACCGUGGCUCACAGUCCCGCAUUUUGUCUACAUCGUCUGGUUCCAGCGACACCAGCGUGGGCGGAGUUG